AUUGAACGCUGGCGGCAGGCUUAACACAUGCAAGUCGAGCGGAGCGAGGGUGCUUGCACCUUAGCUUAGCGGCGGACGGGUGAGUAAUGCUUAGGAAUCUGCCUAUUAGUGGGGGACAACAUUCCGAAAGGAAUGCUAAUACCGCAUACGCCCUACGGGGGAAAGCAGGGGAUCUUCGGACCUUGCGCUAAUAGCUGAGCCUAAGUCGGAUUAGCUAGUUGGUGGGGUAAAGGCCUACCAAGGCGACGAUCUGUAGCGGGUCUGAGAGGAUGAUCCGCCACACUGGGACUGAGACACGGCCCAGACUCCUACGGGAGGCAGCAGUGGGGAAUAUUGGACAAUGGGCGGAAGCCUGAUCCAGCCAUGCCGCGUGUGUGAAGAAGGCCUUUUGGUUGUAAAGCACUUUAAGCGAGGAGGGGGCUACUUAGAUUAAUACUCUGGGAUAGUGGACGUUACUCGCAGAAUAAGCACCGGCUAACUCUGUGCCAGCAGCCGCAGUAAGAC
rnacentral:rRNA from 1 species